rnacentral:rRNA from 1 species
UACGUAGGGUGCAAGCGUUGUCCGGAAUUAUUGGGCGUAAAGCGCGCGUAGGCGGAUCGUUAAGUCAGGGGUGAAAUCCUGGAGCUCAACUCCAGAACUGCCUUUGAUACUGGCGACCUUGAGUUCGGGAGAGGUGAGUGGAACUGCGAGUGUAGAGGUGAAAUUCGUAGAUAUUCGCAAGAACACCAGUGGCGAAGGCGGCUCACUGGCCCGAUACUGACGCUGAGGUGCGAAAGCGUGGGGAGAAAACAGG